GCUUCCUCGGCUUCAGAGCCCAUUCAGCCGCCUUAUCUUAAGUCAGAAACAACAAAUGAAUCAUUAAGCAAGGAGGUGGAACAAAGCAGCUAGUAUUGCCAGGCACUUAGUUCCUGUUGGAACAGGAGGCGAGCAACUGGAGAGAAGAGCCCUUGGAAAAAAAGGACUGGUUUUAGAGAACUAAGGCAAGAGUAGAAACAGCCUUUUCAGAUCAGCCCCGGGAGAAGAGAAAGGAGACAACUCGCAAAAUGAAUAAUGCAAGUUCUGAAAAGAUCACAGACAGCAUGCCGAACCCCCAGGAUCUACCACCCCCUUAUUCUGAGGCAGUGCAGCCUCCUGUUCAACCACCUGCCCCCAUAGCUGUUCAACCUAUGCCAAGCCACCUUUAUUAUGUCGCGGCUUUCCAAGACCCAAAGGAAGUACCAAUUCUUCAGCCUGUUCCGUUCACCCCUGCAUCUGACUACCUGGUCUACUCCAUCUUUACUAUGCUCUGCUGUUGUCUACCCCUGGGUGUGGCUGCCUUAGUUUACUCUAUACAGACCCGAGAAGCCAACCAUGAAGAAAACAGUACCACUGCACAACGCAGCUCCAGAAUGGCACGGAUUUUGGCCCAUUCAGCACUCGGGGUGGGCAUUGGCGUCAUCAUCUUAUACGUCAUCUUUAGGUUAUUUGCUUACUCAGUGCUCAAAUGAACAUUGAUCAGUCUCUAAGUGACCCAAAGGGGACAUGAUGCAUCCUUUUUAAAAAAAAAAUGACACCCACAGGCAAGCGAUGAAUCAUAAACUUUGGGACAUGAGGAAGAAUUCAGAAAUUGCUAGGUUUCCCGAUCCAUUUCUGUUUGCUCAAUUUAUCUUCCUCAGUAUGAAUUUACAUAGGCUGCGCUCUUCCAGAAGGAAAUGACUCACAAUUUGGGGGGGGAGGGGAUGCGGAUGACCUCCUGAACCCACAGCUUCUGCAGUGAUUAGAAAAGCCUUUGUACAGAUUUGCCUGUGUACCAGUUGGACACAUGGCAGAAUGUAUCUUUUAUUUUAUGUACACUGAGAGCAUUUGCACCAAGACAAAUUCCUUGUGUGUCCAAUCACACUUGGCCAAUACAGAAUUCUAUUCUAUUCUAUCAAGAGGCUGUUCUCAUGAUAACUCAUGUGUUAGUCCUCUCCUGGAUGAAUUACUGUGAAAUUCGAUCCAUGGAGCUGCCUUUAAACAACAUUCAGAAGCUGCAACUCGCCCCAAAAUGCUGCAGUGCGGGCAGUUUGGGGCAUUUCACAAGAUCCUCGUGUUCUGUGAGCUGCACUGGCUUCCAGGAGGCUUCUGGAUGCAAUCCAAGAUGCUGGUUAUCACCUAGAAAGCUCUGCGUUGAGCCAAGAUAGUUGCAGGAUAGCACUUAGCACUUAGACCUAUAUACCGUGUCGACCCUGAAGAUGACAUAUGUGUAGCCAUAUUUUAUAUUAGCCAGUAUUUCUUUUUCUGUUAGCUUUUAGAUUUAUAGUAACUGAAUUUACUGAUGCUAUAGGCUGGUCACUGUCUAACUGUAACAGGGGGGGUUGUACAGAUAAAGGGAGAAUGUUAUGUCUAAGCGGCCUUCCUUUCCCAUGAGAACAGUUCAGAUGCCUGCAGCUGGAUGAAGGUGGAGUUUGGAAUUGCCGGACUGUGGGAUCAAGAAGUGAUUGGAGAUUGUGACUCAGGGGGGGACGUUUCACACUUUGGCUUUUAUUGGGUGCAAUUCUGGAUCUGGUUCAGAGUCGGAAUUACACCAAGUCUGUGCCAAUUUAAUGUGUUCCUAAUAAAUAGAUUUGAAAUGGAAAAUGGACUUUAUUU
rnacentral:lncRNA from 1 species